CGGCGGACGGGUGAGUAAUGCCUAGGAAUCUGCCUGGUAGUGGGGGACAACGUUUCGAAAGGAACGCUAAUACCGCAUACGUCCUACGGGAGAAAGCAGGGACCUUCGGGCCUUGCGCUAUCAGAUGAGCCUAGGUCGGAUUAGCUAGUUGGUGAGGUAAUGGCUCACCAAGGCGACGAUCCGUAACUGGUCUGAGAGGAUGAUCAGUCACACUGGAACUGAGACACGGUCCAGACUCCUACGGGAGGCAGCAGUC
rnacentral:rRNA from 1 species